AGGGAGACAUUUCUUUUUUUGAGGGCAACUGGAAUAAGUAAAAGGAUAUAAGAGAUCCAGACAGCAAUACAUGGUUAGAUCCAGAAGGAGGCGGUAAUGCAACUAAAAAGGAUGCCAACUGCCAUGAAACACCAAAGAAGAAGGAGAAGAAGAAGAAGAAGAAGAAGAAGAAGAAGAAGAGGGUAAUUGGGAUCACCUGAUCAUGGAAUGCAAAUGGUGGCCGUCUUUGUUUGGUUUAAGAAGGUAUUGGCAGGUCUUAAAAAAGCCACCAAAAAGAGCUCUAAAUGAGGUUUAAUUUCUCAUUAAUGAUCUUAUCUGGAUAAUCAAUGCCUUUGCCAAUGUUCUUUGUCGACACGUCUGAAAAAGAGCAGGUCCCGGCAGAUGCAAGGUCCUGGCAGGGCACUGUGGAGUGGCCCUGCCCUCUCCUCAUAAAUUGUCGUGUCCUUUCUGCUCCCGGGGAUGCUGCGUAUGUCUGCUGAAAUGGAUGAAAAGAGAGUCUGUUUUGAGCUGUGUGACCUGCUGCAGCUCCCUCCUCACAUUCCUGCAAUCUGGAGAUCUUUUUUCAGCUUUCUGACGGCACAAACGACAGCCUACGCAGACUGGCGCACACAGACCUGCGGCGGCUAAAUGGUUCUUUGUGUUGUCAUGGGGGCUGAGGAGUGAAAUUGCUGUUUUUAAAAGUUAUGUUUUGUCUGGAAGCAGCGCUGGGGCGUUAGAGCUCUGCAGGACAGGGGGCACGCAGUGGCCAAAUGUUUUUGGCCAGGAAGGUCCUGCUUUCAAGCAAAGUGUCCUGAAAAAUUCUUUUUUCAAUAAAUCCAGUAAAAAUGGUCAGUUUAAUGGCACAUUUUAUUAUUUAUUAUAUUUAUUAUCUGUAUUAAAUUAUAAAAAAUAUGUCUAAAAUUAAGUGCUAUGGACUAAGAUCUUAUUUUUAUUUCUGAUUAGCACAAUCAAUAACGCUUUGUUGUUAUAUCAAUGAUGUUAUAUUUGUGCAGAAUUACAAUCUUUAGACUGCUGUCUGGGCGGCACGCUGUGCCAAUAAAAAAAUAAUACGAUUUUUAAAUGCUACAAAUAUAAUUAAUCUUUGUAAGUCAGACAGAUAUAAGAGCGCCUGUUAAACACUGUGUUUAGUGUUUAUAUGUGUGACGUUAAAGAGGCUCAAUUUCCUUUCUGUCUUCACUUAGAGAGAUCUGAUUAUUCAAAACAACAUCCUGUUACAUUACAGGCAUUCAGCAGACGCUCUUAUCCAGAGCAACUUGCACAGCUUUUUUUACACAGUAUUUACACUGCAUCCACCUGGAUAUAUACUGAAGCUAUGCAGGUUAAGUAUCUUGCUCAAGGGUACAACGGCUGUGUCCUACCUGUGACCUGUGACCUUUAGGUUACAGGACCAGCCCCUACCCAUUAUACUAUACCCUACCCAUAUGUACUAUACUGUGUGUUCUGAUGUCUGUUCUGACAUGUAUGCAUCUAAGAUUAAAUCAUCUUAA